UUGUAAUGGACGCAUAGCGUUUAAAGUUCUCGAUCAAAGAUGGAUGAGCCGCGAAUAAGAUUCAAAGCUAACGCCAUUCACACAGCUUUUGUGAUGCUAACCCUGACCAUCAUAGCUAAAGCGGAUCCCGCUCAACUUCUUGAAAGGCUGAAAGGACAGGUCAUGGCCUUGGUUUGGUGACUGUUACGCGAACUUGUGCCCUGAUUCGACGAAAAAUCCAACGGGAAUGUUUUAACUUAAGACCACAGCCAGAGUCUAUAUUGGAAAGAGCAGGAAUACCAAACACCAUACAACUCACGACAGAUUUAAAAGUUAUAUUUUCUAGCCCUAAAGAGGAUGUAGAUGUGUGUGGUAAAGCUCAACCCAUGGAAGAAGUUAAAGCUUUUAAGUUGCCUGAAAAUGGACGUGCUGUCAAUCACUGCUG